UCAAAAACACCUUGUGUGAUGAAAAACCCGGAUAUAUAAUCUCUCCCUAUAUAUUCUGCAUGUGCAUUGAGGUAGCCUCAACCUCCCCCCAGGGACCUGGUGCAGACGUGGAACCUGUUUCACACAACUGCUGCCUGACGGGAAAAAAGAAGCAAAUGAUACCCAGAGAAGCUCAUCACAGAGAUCUAUUCACCAGAUGUGUACGGAUGAAAAUACAGUGAGAUGAGUCAGAAAGUGGCUAAGGAGGGCCCCAGACUCUCCAAGAACCAGAAGUUCUCCGAGCACUUCAGCAUACACUGCUGUCCGCCCUUCACCUUCCUCAACUCCAAACGCGAGAUUGUGGACCGCAAAUACAGCAUCUGUAAAAGUGGCUGCUUCUACCAGAAGAAAGAGGAGGACUGGAUCUGCUGUGCCUGCCAGAAGACCAGAACCAGCCGCCGUACAACGUCCCCUCCGAAGCCCAAGCUCCAGCCGGCUGCACCCCCUGCGGUGGUCAAAGCACCAGCCAAGCCACGGUCCCCUCCGAGGUCCGAACGCCAGCCACGCCCCCGCCCGGAAGUCCGACCUCCACCAGCCAAGCAGCGCCCCCCUCAGAAGGCCAAGCCGCCGCCGCGCAGCAGCCCCCAGAGAGGGCCAGGCACCGGCCGUGGGGGGUCCCCCGGCAAAGCUCCUAGGUUCUGGUAACACCAUCUCUUCCCUUGUGCUCCCCCGCCCCCAAGAUUGAAAAAGAAGACCAAGCCGACCCCUCGGAAGAAGUGAUGGAGAAGCUCCAAAUGAGUGGACAGCCUCAGCUCCCGGACUCACUGCUUCUCGACCCACACGCCCUUGGGCAGGUUAUUUGGCUCUGAACAUGAUGCAGGCGCAGACACCUGCCGACGGCCACAGUCCCCACAGCACCGGGGCCGUCGGGCGGCCUGCCUGGAGGCACAAACACUGGAGAGCCCUUCCAAGUCCAUGCCCUUCCAGCACCCUGACCCCUGAAGCUGAUCAGGAGAGAAGACUGGACUCUAACACGCUCCCUCAGGGGCUGACCUUGACUCUGGGUCCCACUGUGUGCCCAGCAGUGGCCUCCUGGGAGCCCCUCUUGGGCUACUUUCCCUACUCAGCUCAGAGCUGAGGGACUGAAGGAGCAGGUUGAGGGGAUCUGUCUCUUCUCAGGCUCUGGCGGGGUCCAUUCCAGAAGCCAUUCCAGCUUGUUUUGAGCUCCUGAUUUGCUUAUUAGCUUUUAAAGUUAGGAUUGAAGGGUGAAAGAUAGAGGAACAGAUCGUCCGCCCACUCCUCCAACUUCUACCUAGGAGGCCCGUGGAGGGUACAAGGCUCAUUAUUCUUCCAGGCUUGGUCCACUUCACCUGUCACUCAGAAGCCCUUUCCCUUCCCAGCAAGACCACACUCUCUUUCCUCUUUCCGUUCUCUCCCUUUUUGUGUGUAAACAAUACGGUGUCGCAUCUAUUCCAAGCUGGUGCCAACCUCAGGGCUCCGUUCUUGCUGUUCAUUCUGCCUGUGCUGUUCUGGCCCAAGAUCUUUGCACUAAUGCCAGCAGCUCAAGUAUCAUCUCAGAGAAGCUUCCCUUGGAGACUCAGUGUGGUUUCCAUAGUUACUCUCGCUCCCAUCACUCUAGUUUUGUUUGUCUUCACAGCACUUAUCACCCUCUGAAAUUAUCUUGUUCAUUUAUUUAUCUGUUUAUGGCUUGGGUCCCCUUCUCCUCCUAAUGUAAAGUCCAUGAUUGCCAACACCUGUUGACUGCCACGUUCUGAGUUCCCAGCACUAGAGGGACCUCAAUAAAUGCUUGUUGACUGAAUGGAUGUUUGUUUGUUAUUUUUUAAAUAGGAAUAAUUUUCCAAAGUUUAGAUCCUUUUGAGAAAUCAAAGGUGACUAUUGUAUUGAGCUGCAAGGAUCCCUGUAGGGUGACCUUGCCGGGCACCCUCUGUGGGAGUGAAGGGAGGCGAGGACAGGGUUGUGUGAAGGUAGAUGCAACUCCUUCAACUGAGUUUAACCAGGAAGGGAAGCAGAGGAUGGGGCAACAGCUGGAGCAUCCCACAAACUCAGCUGACACUUGGGCAUUUGAAUGCUGCUGGGAAGGAGGCAGCAGGGGGGGUGUCAGAAGAAAGAGGAGGAGAUAGUUGGUGGAGUUGAGAACUGAGGAGGCUGGCGGGAGGAAGCCGGGGCACAGGUGAGAUCAGGCACGGAGUCGGGGUUCCUUCUCAGUGGACAAAAGGGAAGGAGGAAAGGAGAGUGUAGACUCUGGUCAGUGGCAGGAGCUUGUGGCAUUCCUGCCUGUAGCUUUGAUUUUCUUUGGAAGUGGGAGGCAAAGUGGUUUGUUCACAACUGGUGGUUAUGGUGGUGUUGGAUGUCAGAGAUAUGAGGACAGCGGAGAGGAUUAUAAGGAAAUCAAUUCAUAUAAGUUCUUUGAAAUCAUCUAAAAAAACCUUUCUCCAGAUAAGUUCAAUUAACUAAUUAGUUAACUUACAGUUCAAGGCAAUAUUCUGCCACUAAGUCGUUGCCUACAACUUCUCAUUUAAAUGUAAAUCUAAGGUCUAAGCUGGAGACUCAUAUGGUCUCAGAUGGAAGAUAUAAUAGUUGGAGGAAAAAAGGCAGAGUCUGAUCUUCCCUAUAGAAUCAGGAGCAGCUUUCACUAUGGGAAGCUGCAAAAGUGCUGACAGAUCACAGCGAGAUGGGGCUGUGCUGUGAGACAGCGAUUUGCUGAAUGUCCAUCCGGGCUGCUGUCCUAACACAGAGAAAUGUGAAAACUCUGAAAGGGUCCUGGGGGAGCUUCUUGCCCGACUCCAUGGUACACAUCUCAGUCCCACUAAUAACAUCAUUAGCAGGUGCUUAUGAUCUCUGCUUAAAUAAAAUGAAGUGUUUGUUUUUAACAGACAAAGAUGAUGCUGUUGACCUAACAGCAGGGUGUAUAUUUGUAAUUUGGAGAUAUUUUGCAUACUGACUCUUCUUAUUUGUAACACAGGUACACACUUGCAAGAGUGCUGGUUAAGGAUAGUGACGACAAUGUCUUUUUAUUAAGUAUCAACUAUGUAUCUAUCCGGUACCAUGUAGUAUUUUAUGUUUGUAAACAGGAGAAGUUGGUUAUGGUCUCCAGGGCCUUUGAAACCAUAACCUUGACCUUACUGCUAUUAUGUUGGAACCUAAAAGUUACCAGACUGAGCUUGGGGGAGCCCUGGGGUACUUGCAGAUGCCACCUUAUGAGAUGAGGGGGAGGUUGAGCUGACAGGGGUCAGGUCACUUCCACAUCAACUAAAGCAGCUUUUAGGGUCUAUGUUGACUUCUAAUUUUAUUCAAAUAAAGGGUCCCACUGGGAUAGAAGAGUCACAAUCUCCACUUUCACAACUGAGAGAAAAUAUUGAUAGAAUACUUAUGUUAGUAAUUUUCUAAAUGGUUUUUGAAUUGAAGAGCGUAUUCUUUGGCAUCACCUUAUAGGUUUGGGUUUAGUUGAUGGGUCUUUCAGCAACUAAUUAUCUCCUCUUAGGCAACAGUUCACCUACCACCAAGUUGAGUGUUUUGACUUUUGAUCAAGGUUUAUCCAAAGUACGGAUGAGCAAAAGGAUAUAGAUGAGCAAACAGUCCUGAUAAUUAUUCCUACACUUUUCCUUUCAAGCAAAUCUAUGUAAAAGUAUUACAUUCAAUGUGGAUUAUAUUCAACCCCAUCUCUGUUGCACAAGCUACGUUCACUAUAUAAACUACAGUAAUAGUACAGAAAAAAGGUCUGAGGAGAGUGGACAAAAUGAGAGGCUACAGCUGAAGGGGUGGUCUUACCUAUAGCAAAUCACAGAUCGAUCAGAUUUGAGUGAUUUGAUUCAAAAAGAUCUCUUAGCAAUAAAACUAAGCUCUAAAAUAGUAUUAAUCUAAUUACCAAAGUAACAUUCACACUGGAUUUUUGAAGCACUUGAACUGUCCCAAAGGUCCAUUCAUAACCUGAGACUGGAAGCCAAUGGGAGCCAACAGUGAUAUCUGGAGAGGCUCCUCUCUGGAAUCCAAAGGUUGUAUGUAUUUUGCAGAAAGAGAAAGGUCGAUCAUCUUAAAUAAUUAAGGUCAAGAAAGAUGGUACUUCCUUAUGGCAAGAGGGUCUACGUUUCUAAAGCUCUUUUAGCAAGGAGAUAUAAGCUUACCAGGAAAAAAAGGUUGGGAAUGUCUGGGUUCAUAUUUGAGAAAGUGGCUGAUGGCAGUGGAAGUCCUUUAUGUGCUGAAUUAAUGACAGAUAUUCUUGAUAAAGACAGGAAGUCAUUGGCAUCAGCAUUAGCCAAACCAGCCCUCCCUGCAGAAAGUAAGAGCUCCUGGGGCCAUUCUUUGUUUGUAUUGUUUGCUUUCCGAGGGGGAGGUAAUUAGGUUUCUUCAUUGAUUUCCACUUGGAGGAGGUACUGGGGACUGAACCCAAGACCUCUUGCAUGCUGAGCAUGCGCUCUACCACUUGAGCUGUACCCUUCCCCCGUGGGGCCAUUCUUUGUUAAUGAAGCCCCACUAAGGCCAGUAUUAGAGGCAGAUAUUUUCUCAGACACUGAACACAGUCCUUUGGCCCAGGUGGUGGUCCAUGCAUAGCCCCGUGUUGACCUCCAGGCAGAUCUGUUCCAAUACUGAUGAAAUGGAGAUAUUCCUAUUGUGUCCACCUUCAAGGAGGGUUGGGUAGUCUGUCAUUCAGAGGGUGUGGGAUUCAAUAGACAUUCUGGCAAUUUUUCGUCGAUUAAGUCAUGUUUGCUUGCAGAUCAGAGGGUAAGGUUUUUCCUGACACCUCAUAGGUCCCUCUACUCAGGUGGCAGCCCAUUCUCAACUAAUUCCCCUGUAGGCGUGCCUCUUCUAUAACAAGAAAGAGUUGGAACAGCACUGGUGUAGAGUGGGUGGUAAGGAGCCUGGCUUCCAGGACCUUUCAUUGAUGGGACUUAGUGGACUUCCUGGAUGUGGUUUAUUUCUGAGAUCUCUAUGAUACACCAAUCUUUGGGUUUGCUAUCUGCAAUUUCUGUCUCCAGAAGGCAGUAUCUCUCUUCUCUCCAGAACGAAAUCUUAAUGCAUCAGAAGGAAAAAGCCUGGUGUCUUGGGAUUUUUUUUUUCCCCACAAAAUGAUCCAACAAAUUUUUAUAUAAUCUAUCUUCACUAUAAUUCACUCUCCGUUUCUUGAAUUCUCUGUGAACAUCCCCAUCUGCAGCUGACGGCUUCUGUUCUUUCUCUUCUGGAUUGUAAGCUUUUUGAGUCAGACCCUUGCACAGAAUCUUAGUUUUCUGCUGAUGGAGAUCAUUAAGGAUCUCUGCUGCCAGCUGCAAGAUUUUGCAUUUAUUUUCAACUAGAGCUUUGGCCGCAAGCAGUGAAAAAAAGGAAUCAUUUUCCAGCUUUUUUCUUCCAGCUGAUGCCUUGCUGACACCUCAUUAUUUGGCUUGGAAUGUUAAUGGUGUCUGUUUUCCUCAACUCUUGUUAAUGCGGAUUUUGGUACCAUCUGAAUUCCCUGACUUUUCAUCUUCUUCUGUGGUAAUCUGCCAACCAAAUCUUUAUGUUUAAAAUGAUCCUGCUCAUUUCCUUCCCUAUGGCUUUCCUCCUCAGAUGCAAAGAUCGUGAUGACAUGGUUUUAGCUGCAUAUUUAUUGAGAACUUCAGCUCCAUUGCUUUUCUAAGCCAUGGAUUCCUUCUGAGACUUGAGAUGGUAUUUGGUUUGCUCACUGAUCUCAGUGGGUAGGGCUGGGAGGGCAAAGGAGACCACAGCCUUCUCUCCACUCUGCCGCCCUCCAACUGCCACCCCUUCCUCUCCUAGCUCCUGCCUCCCUUCCAUCUCUUUCCUGCACUCAUCUGUUUUCCUACAACUUAAAUUCCCCAAAGAGCUUGGUGUUUAGAUUGCCAGCAGAGCCACCAACAACCUUUAUACAAUUUUCUUGCUCUGGGUUUCACGCCGUCUUCAUUGCCUUCUCCAGGUCUUGUUCCCAGCUGCUAACUGAGAUCCUGCCCAAACUGGCACCACUUUGAUUCAUGCAGGUCUGUACUGUCAGGUGACCAAGGAUGAACCUGAGAGGGGUGCUGACCCACAUCUGGGUGCACCCUGGCUCCAGGUCUCUCCAAUCCCAAUUGUCUUCGCUUCCCCAAAUGGCCUGGUGUCAAAGGGCCAUCAUGCCUUGCAGAUGGGCUCUCCUGAAUUAGGCUGGUUCCAUCACUGCUGAAGCUACCUCCCUAACUUGCUUUCACCUACAGUUUUAAUUUGCUUAGACUUUCAUUGUCUCGAGUCUUCAAAAGUCCUCAAAUACUUGAACCCAGCUUUUUAAGUGAUGACUUCCCCUUUCUUCUGGUGUAAGUUUCCCUUCAGUGAGGCUUUGGAGUCCUAAUAAGAGAACCACUGGAGUCCAAAGGAAGAGCUGGGAGCAUUUAGCAUCAAACUUGUGUGUGUGUGUGUGUGUGUAUGUUUGUGUGUGUGUGCGUGCGCGUGAGAGAGAGAGAGAGAUUCUUCCCUUUUUGUGGUUUCUUUUGUGCUGUUUCAUGUGCUCUGGGAGAGGUGAGUUCCCUCCCUUCCAUUCCCUGAUUCCCCGUCUUCCUUGUGCUCAAAAUAACAAGCAGAUGGGAAGUCCAGGGCUCCUGGCAGGGGUAAACCCUGUGGUGCUCCUUGCCCAAACAGAAGAAGGUUUGGUUGGCAUGUCAUUCCCAUUUCCUGCCUCAACUUGUGAAACUCAAGUUGCUGUGAAAAUGAAACACUUUUGUGUACACAUAUCACCCAACAAAGCUUCAUAAAGCUGUUUCUUAAGGCAGCUCUGUUUUCUGAACACUUCUAACCCCCGCGGGGAUAUAACUGACUUAGAAUAACGUUAGGUAGGGGUGCAUUAUGGCAAUGAACUUGUUUAAACCCAGGACAUCAUUUACACAGAGGUAAAAAUCAAGUAUGUGUGUGUGUGUGUGUUUUCUUUCUAAAUAGAAAACUCAUUUUGUCUCAACAUCUGAGCCCCUAUUUAUAAACAUUUUUGGGGACUACCUGACCUUUGCCCUCUACCCAUGUUUUUUAGGAGCUCUCCUUUCACAUGGGACCCUGGAGCAGUAAGCACUUUUAUACUGAUACGUAAGAGGUCAAAACAAAAGGGUCUGUCCUCAAGUGCACGGACAAGUCUGCUCAUCACCAGUGUCACUGGCCAAUAAGGUCAAUAUCUGGGGACUGAAUAAGUAAUGAAAACAUAUUGAAGGAAAAAUGGUUCAGAGAUUUACUGAGUACUAUGUAAGUAAAGACUCAGAAGUGAAAGUUCCAUCCACCGGGCAGAGUGGCCAGACCACCACUUGAGACGCUCGAGCUCACACAACUAUUCCAGCAGAUGGCUGAGCGCACCCAAGCAUGUAACACCAUCUCCUCCAUCCACACGGGGCUGGCUGCCAAGGCUACAAGGUGCCCUUGGCGUAUCCUGUGCUGUAUUUUGAAGAUAUCAUCCCAUUGUCUUCUGACCUCUAUAAUUGCCAUGAGAAAUAUGUUGUCAGUCUACUUGUCCUUCCAUUGACUCAAGUUUCUUCAAUCUGAAGAUAUAUAUCUUUCUUCAGGGAUAUGUAAAAACAAAGAUAAUGUUGAACAACCAUUGUAAUGGCAAAAAUUAAAAAUUAUCAAGUGUUGGAAAGGAUGUAAGCCACUGAUGAGAAUUCAUAAACUAUUACAACAUUUCUGGGGUACUAGCAAAACGGGAUAUUCUAUAACCUAUGAUCAAGUAAUUAUAAUUUUAGGCACCAAUCCUGAGAAAACUUGCAUUUAUAGAAAGAAAAAAAAGAUACAUGUUCAGUGAAGCAUUGUUUGCCAUUGGAAAAAGAGAGAGAAAGAAGUUAAUCAAAAUUUCCAUCAACAGAAUGAAUGAAUCGGUAAUGUAAUAUUCAUAAAUGAAACCCUGAAUAGCAGUUAAAACAAACGAAUCAAAUAUACUCAUACCAGGUCGACAAAUUUGGAAGACAAAAUGAGGAACAUAAAAAAGCAAAAAGUAGAUGGUAAAUACAAUAUGAUGCCCUAUGCAUAAAUUUUAGCCUCCCACAAUGCUAUAAUUGUCCCAAAUGCAGAAGCCAUAUGAUCUCACACUCCCUCUAUAAUGCAAUAGAAUUUUUAAAAAAAUGACAACAGAAUAAAAGGCAAUCCAAGAAAUAUCUCUACUCUUGGAAAUCAAAAAGAAGAUUUGAAAUAAUUCCGGUUUGGAGAAAUAACAGAAAUUAAAAGCUAUGUAGAAAUGAUCAACAAUGUAUUAGCCAGAUACAAAUGCGUCUGGGGCGGUAAGGGAGAUGAAUGAUCAACCUGGGGUCUCUCCAAGGUUGUAAGUCUUAGAAAACAAAAAUACUUGUUCUGAGUCAGUUUUUAAAAUCUGGGCUGUACUGGGCUUCUGCUAGUUUCUGACAUGGGGAAGGGGGGAGGAGCUAGAAUAUACCUCCCCACCCCCCAACCUUCCUUUAGUAAGAGGUAAGAAAGCACAGUAGAAGAUACUAGAAUGUUGUAGAAUGUGGAGGGAUGUAAAAAGGGCAGUAUUAGAUGGAGGGAAACUCAGAGCAAAGGUGAGCGAGGGCGUGGGGUCAGUUUUGUGCUGGGAGCUGGGGUGGCCAUGCACAGGCAGGUGCCUGAGACACCAACAAGGCCAUGGAUCUGUGUCUUUGAGUGAACACAGCCAGACCUAGCCAAGCUUGAAGGGCAAGUGAGAAUACAGGGGCAGUGCCAGAGGAAGUCCUGCUCAAGGAGAGGGAGUGCCAGUAGUAGGGAGGAAGCGUCUAGACUCAGAUGAGCUCUAGCUCUGAACAUCACACUCCUGGAAAGAGGAAGCAGGCCAGGUCCUGUCCCAGGGCAGUGGGAGGGUGAGGCCAGGUGCCUGGCUUCCUCACCUGGGGACGUCACUUCUCUGGGGAAGUGGCAAUAAAAAGGCAGGGAAAUCGAGCUACACAGAGCCUUCAGGUAGAAAUGUUCCCUGCCUACAUUCAGGUGCUAAAUGAACAAUAAAAUGAGAACCUCUACUGUGUACAGUUUCCAGUGAUGAGAUAUCUGAGUCCAUGCCAUUCCUGGGAAUAACACUGGGGGUGCCAUGACAGACCACUACAGAGAACAAAUUAGCCGGCCAGCCCCACUUAGACCCAAUAAGGAAAUAAUAUUCCUUUAGUCCAUGUUAGAUUUUGGCAAAGCCAGACCCCACACUCCAAACUUGCUGGGUUCUGUCCUCCAUAUUAUCCAGAAGACACACAGUUACUACAGAACAUGACACUGAGGAGAGAGCAUGGUGUGUAGUAAUUCAUAUAAAAAAAAAACCCCUGUAUAUCAGCACAGAAAUGUUAAUAACUAGAAAUUGCUGAAUUCUCUAUGUUGUCUGUUGUGGAAAUAAAGCCCUCUGGGGAUGGAUCAAAAACAUCUGGAAAUUACUUGAAACUGGUGAAUAACUAAAUGGAAUUAUAACUAAAAUGCACUCUAA